rnacentral:misc_RNA from 1 species
AGUUAAAUAGUACGUGAAAUUGUUGAAAGGGAAACGAUUGAAGUCAGUCAUGCUAGUGAAAAUUCAGUUUGGUGGGUUUUGGGUUCAGGAGUUGAGGCAGGGUCAAACCGUUUCUCUUUUGAACUUGGAAUUUGUCAGAUGCACUUUUUCUUUGGCAGGUCAGCGUCGAUUUCGGAGGUUGUAAAAUACUCGGGGAAAAGUAGCUCUGCUUCGGGAGAGUGUUAUAGACCUUGGGUGAUGCGGCCUGCGGGAUCGAGGAUUGCAGCAAAUGCUUUUGGCUUGUCGCCUGAUCUCUGGACGUCAUCUCGCUUGUAUCAACAUUCUUGGUACCGGUGAGUAAUGGUGCUCAUAGGUUAGAGCGAUCAAAAAUUUUGCUAAGGAUGCUGACGUAAUGGCUUUAAA